rnacentral:rRNA from 1 species
UGAAUUCAUCUCCGGGGGUAGAGCACUGUUUCGGCUAGGGGGCCAUCCCGGCUUACCAACCCGAUGCAAACUGCGAAUACCGGAGAAUGUUAUCACGGGAGACACACGGCGGGUGCUAACGUCCGUCGUGAAGAGGGAAACAACCCAGACCGCCAGCUAAGGUCCCAAAGUCAUGGUUAAGUGGGAAACGAUGUGGGAAGGCCCAGACAGCCAGGAUGUUGGCUUAGAAGCAGCCAUCAUUUAAAGAAAGCGUAAUAGCUCACUGGUCGAGUCGGCCUGCGCGGAAGAUGUAACGGGGCUAAACCAUGCACCGAAGCUGCGGCAGCGACACUGUGUGUUGUUGGGUAGGGGAGCGUUCUGUAAGCCUGUGAAGGUGUGUCGUGAGGCAUGCUGGAGGUAUCAGAAGUGCGAAUGCUGACAUAAGUAACGAUAAAGCGGGUGAAAAGCCCGCUCGCCGGAAGACCAAGGGUUCCUGUCCAACGUUAAUCGGGGCAGGGUGAGUCGACCCCUAAGGCGAGGCCGAAAGGCGUAGUCGAUGGGAAACGGGUUAAUAUUCCCGUACUUGGUGUUACUGCGAAGGGGGGACGGAGAAGGCUAUGUUGGCCGGG